GCUCCAGUGGCGCAAUCGGUUAGCGCGCGGUAAUUAUGAGGCAGUAUGCUGAGGUUGUGAGUUCAAGCCUCACCUGGAGCA